AACGCUGGCGGCGUGCCUAAUACAUGCAAGUCGAACGCUUCUUUUUCCACCGGAGCUUGCUCCACCGGAAAAAGAGGAGUGGCGAACGGGUGAGUAACACGUGGGUAACCUGCCCAUCAGAAGGGGAUAACACUUGGAAACAGGUGCUAAUACCGUAUAACAAUCGAAACCGCAUGGUUUUGAUUUGAAAGGCGCUUUCGGGUGUCGCUGAUGGAUGGACCCGCGGUGCAUUAGCUAGUUGGUGAGGUAACGGCUCACCAAGGCCACGAUGCAUAGCCGACCUGAGAGGGUGAUCGGCCACAUUGGGACUGAGACACGGCCCAAACUCCUACGGGAGGCAGCAGUAGGGAAUCUUCGGCAAUGGACGAAAGUCUGACCGAGCAACGCCGCGUGAGUGAAGAAGGUUUUCGGAUCGUAAAACUCUGUUGUUAGAGAAGAACAAGGAUGAGAGUAACUGUUCAUCCCUUGACGGUAUCUAACCAGAAAGCCACGGCUAACUACGUGCCAGCAGCCGCGGUAAUACGUAGGUGGCAAGCGUUGUCCGGAUUUAUUGGGCGUAAAGCGAGCGCAGGCGGUUUCUUAAGUCUGAUGUGAAAGCCCCCGGCUCAACCGGGGAGGGUCAUUGGAAACUGGGAGACUUGAGUGCAGAAGAGGAGAGUGGAAUUCCAUGUGUAGCGGUGAAAUGCGUAGAUAUAUGGAGGAACACCAGUGGCGAAGGCGGCUCUCUGGUCUGUAACUGA
rnacentral:rRNA from 1 species